UGACUUGUACUAGCUUAUGGUAUUAGUCAUUGACUGCCAUAUUUUAAUCACUGUUGAGCAGAUCUGGCUGGCUAGGCAGGUGUCCCCUUCCUCCCUCACCACUCCAUGUGCGUCCCUCCUGAAGUUGUGCACUCGGUGGAAGAGGACAACGUCCCAGGUAUAGAAGGAGUGUACUGAGGUCACCAGUCUUC
rnacentral:snRNA from 1 species